AUGAAAGCGUGGCUGGCAGGGUAUUCGAUUGAACUCCAGGCUCUCCAGUCACUGUGUACCCUGACUAUAGAACUUGAGCUGUGUGCUACAAUCUAUCCUCUGUUGGGGAGUUCACAUGAAUUCAACUUAAAGAAAACCCACUUAUUGGAAUAUUUGGAAAACAUGGAAAAGUGUAAAAAUGAAAAUAAAAAUUACCUAUAAUUGGAUAAAUCAGAGAUAAAUGCAGACAACAUUUUGGUAUGUAUCCUUCUUAUUCUUCUAUUCUUUUUUCUUUGUAAAGUAAUUAAAGGAAAAAUAAGAAAUACAGAUAAGAAUUUCCCAAGUCAUUACAUCGUCUAUGAGAAAUAGAUUUUAUUAUUUUAUUUUUUUAAGAUUUAUUUAUUAGAGAGAGAGUGCAGGUGCAGGCACAAACAUGCAAGUGUGUUGGAGGGGAGGGGCAGAAGGAGAGGGAGAGAAACUCAAGCAGAUUCUGGGCUGAGCCCUGAACCUGACCAUGCUCCAUCUCCAUAAGGAAGCUAAGCACAAGAGAUCAGACCUGAGCCAAAACCAAGAGUCUGUAGCUUUAACUGACUAUGCCACCCAGGGGCCCCUGAAAAUCAGAUUUUGAAUGAUGGUAGAUGAAUCCCAUCCUAUGGGUACAUGGGUAUAUCAUAUUUAAUUAACAAAUCACCUGAUGUAAUUCCAAUUUUUACUUCUAUAGAAUGAGUAUCCUUAAAGGAUAUAGCUUUUCAUUUCCUUUCAGCACCUGAAUCCUCUUUCUAGCUGGAGGGACCCCCUUACACACACACACACCCCACAGAAGCUGAAAGAUAUGGCUAUACUUGCUUCCCAGCCUCCUUUGCAACUAGCACGAGGGCUCUCCUCCACCUUGAAUAGAAGGCUGGCACACUGAGGGAGACGGGCUAUGCAGAGUUCACGUGCUGAGAAGGGUGGCAGCUAGUUCCCCUUGUGGGCAGUGGCAGUGGUGCCAGCAGCAGCCUUGGCGAUGUCACUGAAUUAGAAAAGGUGACUAUUUCAAGUCUCUUUAUCCUUAUUUAGAUAUGCCCUCUGAAAGGCCGGCGAACUUACACUCCUGCAGUCAUGAGCAUACCCAGUCUCAGUCCCUUGUUUCUAAAAUGCAUUUCCAUAAGACACAUUACUCCAAAAGCUACUGCUAAAUAGGGAAGGGAGGUCAUGAGCAAUUUCAGCACAGUGGUCAACAGGUAACAGAAAGUGAGUGCAAGUUACAGGAACAGGGUGAGAGGGCGCAAGCCCCAGAAUUCAGUGCUGGGAUGGGGUCUGUUCACCUCCUGGCUUCCGCUGGCAUCAGUCUGGCCACAGAUGCUGCCUUUGAAGUGCAUAGGACUUGGUUCUCCCACAGUACUUUGUGGAUUUGGUCCUUAUCUCUGUGACUGGACAGUCUAACCCUUCCUUACACAGCCUUUCAUUAAGCUAGCUUUCACUUUUUUUAAUAAUAGAAUCCUGUAUUUACGGUGGUGCGCUUGUUUUUGUUUUUUUUUGUUUGUUUGUUUUUUGUUUUUGUUUUUUUUUUUUUACUUGUGCAGCCUUUUGUUUAUUUGUUUCAUUAGAACUGUUAUUGUUUUGUUACUGCCGUGGUUACAUUGCACAGAUUUUACAUGCCCUUCUCCAAUGUGAUUUUUUUCUGUGAGCUCUGUUGUUUUUGGAAUACAGUUCGGCA
rnacentral:lncRNA from 1 species